rfam:Escherichia coli str. K-12 substr. MG1655, complete genome.
GGCCGGAUAAGGCGUUUACGCCGCAUCCGGCAAUUGGUGCAUGAUGCCUGAUGCGACGCUGUCGCGUCUUAUCGUGCC